UGUCGCAUAGCUCAGUGGUAGAGCAAUGAUGUCAUGGGUUCGAUUCCCAUUGCGGCAA
rnacentral:tRNA from 1 species